rnacentral:rRNA from 1 species
CGGGCGGGUGAGUAAUGUCUGGGAAACUGCCCGAUGGAGGGGGGUAACUACUGGAAACGGUAGCUAAUACCGCAUAACGUCGCAAGACCAAAGAGGGGGACCUUAGGGCCUCUUGCCAUCGGAUGUGCCCAGAUGGGAUUAGCUAGUAGGUGGGGUAACGGCUCACCUAGGCGACGAUCCCUAGCUGGUCUGAGAGGAUGACCAGCCACACUGGAACUGAGACACGGUCCAG